rnacentral:rRNA from 2 species
GCAUAUCAAUAAGCGGAGGAAAAGAAACUAACAAGGAUUCCCCUAGUAGCGGCGAGCGAAGCGGGAAGAGCUCAAAUUUAUAAUCUGGCACCUUCGGUGUCCGAGUUGUAAUCUCUAGAAGUGUUUUCCGCGUUGGACCGCACACAAGUCUGUUGGAAUACAGCGGCAUAGUGGUGAAACCCCCGUAUAUGGUGCGGACGCCCAGCGCUUUGUGAUACACUUUCAAUGAGUCGAGUUGUUUGGGAAUGCAGCUCAAAUUGGGUGGUAAAUUCCAUCUAAAGCUAAAUAUUGGCGAGAGACCGAUAGCGAACAAGUACCGUGAGGGAAAGAUGAAAAGCACUUUGGAAAGAGAGUUAACAGUACGUGAAAUUGUUGGAAGGGAAACGCUUGAAGUCAGACUUGCUUGCCGGAGCUUGCUUCGGUUUGCAGGCCAGCAUCAGUUUUCCGGGGUGGAUAAUGACGGUUUGAAGGUAGCAGUCUCGGCUGUGUUAUAGCUUUCCGUUGGAUACGCCCUGGGGGACUGAGGAACGCAGCGUGCUUUUUGCGAAAGACUCGUCUUUUUCACGCUUAGGAUGCUGGUGGAAUGGCUUUAAACGACCCGUCUUGAAACACGGACC